rnacentral:rRNA from 1 species
AGAGUUUGAUCCUGGCUCAGGACGAACGCUGGCGGCGUGCUUAACACAUGCAAGUCGAGCGGAAAGGCCCUUCGGGGUACUCGAGCGGCGAACGGGUGAGUAACACGUGAGGAACCUGCCCUUAACUCUGGGAUAGCUUCGGGAAACCGGAAUUAAUACCGGAUAUGACUAACGUCGGCAUCGACGGUAGUGGAAAGAUU